AUGGAGCAAUUGGAGAAGAGGAUGGAUGCUGCAGAACAACAAAUCAAAGAGUUGCGUGAAGAUCUUAAUCGGAGAUUUGGUCAGCUGGUUGAGAUGAUAAGAAAGGGUGUCCCCCCUGCUGCCGAUGAAGGAGAUUCAUCUAAAGAAGAAGAUGUUCAACAAAGAAGGAGAGGUAAUCUUGGAGCAAGACCGCCACAACAACGUGCUAUUCAACGUGCUUCAAGAAGGCCAAUUUAUGUUGAAGCUUCUGAAGGUGAAGAAUAUGAUGAUGCCCUUGAAGAAGCAGAUCUCUACGCAUAUCGGAGAGUACCCAACCCUACAUAUGCAAGAGAUACAUACAAGGUGAAAGCUGAGAUCCCAACUUUUAAUGAAAAUGUUGACAUUGAAGGGUGCCUGGAUUGGUUAUAUGAAGUGGAGACUUUCUUUGAGGUCAUGGAGGUUCGGGAAGAUCGUAGAGUUCCUUUGGUCGCAUACAAACUGAAAGGAGCCGGUGCAUGGUGGCAUCACGUUCAAGAGGAGCGCAGGCUUAGAGGAGAACCUCGUGUUAGAACUUGGCGACAAAUGAAAGGCCUCUUGAAAGGGAGAUUUUUGCCCGCUGAUUAUGACCAGAUCCUAUUUAUCCAAUUUCAAAAUUGUGCUCAAGGAAAUAGGACUGUUUCAGACUACACGGAGGAGUUUCUAAGGCUACAAGUGAGGUGCAACCUUGCUGAAACUGAAGAGCAACAAGUUGCAAGGUACAUCAAUGGUCUCAAUGAUGCUAUUCAAGAUCGAUUGAUGAUGCAGAAAAUCUGGUCCGUUGAUCAAGCACAAGCUCUAGCCUUAAAGGCCGAGAGGUUUGUGAGGAUGAGAAAGAUAACUAAGGCUCCAUAUCCUUCAUAUCCUCAUACCGAAGGCUCAUCUAGGAGCCAACCUAAUAGAGUGGAAGAAAAGACCACUCCACCAAAGACAAAACAGCCCAUCCCGAAGCAAACUAGAGGCAAGGGUAAGGCAAAUGAAGGCCCAAAGUGCUAUAAAUAUGGCAAAGAGGGACACAUAUCCAGCGGCUGCCCACUAAGGAAAUUUGUUAACACGACUAUCCAUGAUGGUGAAAGCGAUGAGGAAGAAUACGAAUCUGAAGAUGUAGACGGACAAGAGGUUUGUCAAGAAGAAGGUGAAGAGGUGGUAUGUGUGAUCCAGCGUGUCCUAUGUUCCACACCACAACUCGAUGACACACAACGGAAGAAAAUAUUUGAGAGCAAAUGCACGGUGAAUGGCAAGGUAUGCAAACUAGUGAUUGAUAGUUGCAGGUACGAGAAUCUUAUCUCCCAGAAGUUGGUGGACCAUUUAAAGCUUGAAACCCAUGAUCAUCCAAAUCCCUACACUAUUGGAUGGAUCAAGAAAGGAGUGAAUAUGAGGAUCACCAAACAAUGCAACCUGCCACUUUCUUUGGGUAAGCAUUAUCGCUCAAAUGUGUUGUGUGAUGUGGUUGACAUGUAUGCCAGCCAUGUUCUUCUUGGGAGGCCUUGGCAAUUUGAUGUGGAUACUACACACAAGGGCAAGGAAAAUUCUUACUCUUUCAUUUGGAACAAGAGAAGGAUCAUUAUCUUACCAAACAAACCCGAAGGUAAUACCUCUAAGGAGGAGGGGAAAACUAUGUUAACUAUCUCCCAUACCUCUCAUGAGUUUAUGGAAGACUUGAAGGAGGCAGAUUUGUGUGCUGCACUUGUUGUAAAGGGAGAAGAGCACCUGACUGUUGAAAUUCCAGCAAAGGUACGUGGUUUAUUGGCAGAAUUUCAGAACAUACUUGGGGAGCCACAUGGCUUGCCACCGAUGAGAGGAAUUCAACAUAGAAUUGACUUAAUUCCGGGAGCAAGUCUUCCUAAUCUUCCACACUAUCGAAUGAGCCCAAAGGAGCAUGGUAUAUUGAAGGAGAAAGUGGAGGAAUUGUUGCAAAAGGGGCACAUUCGAGAAAGUAUUAGCCCAUGUGCUGUACCAGCCCUACUCGCGCCAAAGAAAGAUGGAUCUUGGCGCAUGUGUACGGACAGUAGAGCCGUUAACAAGAUCACCGUAAGGUAUAGAUUCCCUAUUCCCCGUCUGGAUGAUAUGUUGGAUCAGCUCAGUGGAGCAAGAGUGUUCACAAAGCUAGAUUUAAGAAGUGGAUAUCAUCAAAUCCGUAUAAGACUCGGGGAUGAAUGGAAGACCGCCUUCAAGACAAAGGAAGGGUUGUUUGAGUGGCUAGUCAUGCCAUUUGGACUCUCAAAUGCACCAAGUACCUUUAUGCACUUAAUGAAUCAAGUCCUUAGACCCUUCUUAUCCCACUUUGUUGUGGUCUAUUUCGAUGACAUCUUGAUCUAUAGCAAGGAUGAGGAUGAACACUUUGAUCACAUUCGGAAGGUGCUAGAAGUACUAAGGGAAAAUGAGCUCUACGUCAACUUGAAGAAAUGUGUUUUCCUGCAAACACAACUUCUUUUCCUAGGAUUCGUCAUAACAUGUGACAGCAUUCGUGUUGAUGAUUCUAAGGUUGAAGCAAUCCGAGAAUGGCCAACUCCUAAGACCAUUUCUGAGGUAAGAAGCUUUCAUGGCCUUGCAACUUUCUAUAGGCGAUUUGUUAAGAAUUUCAGCACUAUCAUGGCACCAAUUACCGAGUGUUUGAAGAAAGGAAAGUUCCAAUGGGCAGAAGCAGCUGAAGCUAGCUUCAAUGAGAUUAAACAAAAGCUAUCACAAGCUCCUGUCUUGGUACUACCUGAUUUCAACAAGACUUUUGAGUUGGAGUGUGAUGCAAGUGGAGUAGGCAUUGGAGCUGUCCUAUCUCAAGAAAGGAAGCCCAUUGCUUUCUUUAGUGAGAAGUUAAGUGAAGCUAGACAGAAAUGGAGUACCCAUCAACAAGAAUUAUACGCCGUUUUCAGAGCGUUGAAAACUUGGGAAGUCUAUUUGCUGCCUAAAGAGUUCAUUGUUUAUAGCGACCAUCAAUCCUUGAAGCAUUUUAGAAAUCAAAAGCAUGUUGACCGCAUGCUAGCAAGACGGGCAGCAUAUCUUGAGAGGUUUAACUAUCUCAUCGUGCAUAAAUCUGGAAUAACUAACAGAGUGGCCGAUGCUUUGAGUCGUCGUGCAUGCCUCUUGACUUCUUUUGAAGCUGAACUUCCGGGCAUGGGUCAAAUAAAGGAGUUGUAUGAGGGUGACGAAGACUUUGGCCAUGUUUGGGUAAAGCACGCAAGGGGCCAACCAUUAGGUGAUGACUAUUUGAUGCAAGAUGGAUAUCUCUUCAAAAAUGAUCUAUUGUGCAUUCGAAGAAGUUCUUUACAUGACAAGCUGGUUAGAGAGCUCCAUUCAAGUGAUCUUAGUGGCCAUGUUGGACGGGACAAGACUAUCACUAACCUGGAAGCUCGCUACUUUUGGCCACAACUAAAGAGAGAUGCUGGAAAGUUCGUUCAACGGUGCCCCGUAUGUCAGACCUGCAAAGGCCAAGUCUAG
rnacentral:rRNA from 1 species